rnacentral:rRNA from 1 species
UUGACCUCGGAUCAGGUAGGAAUACCCGCUGAACUUAAGCAUAUCAAUAAGCGGAGGAAAAGAAACCAACAGGGAUUGCCCUAGUAACGGCGAGUGAAGCGGCAACAGCUCAAAUUUGAAAUCUGGCCCUCGGGUCCGAGUUGUAAUUUGUAGAGGAUGCUUUUGGCGCGGUGCCUUCCGAGUUCCCUGGAACGGGACGCCAUAGAGGGUGAGAGCCCCGUCUGGUCGGA